rnacentral:rRNA from 1 species
AAUAGAUACCCGGGUAGUCCACGCCGUAAACGGUGAGUGCUAAGUGUUAGAGGGUUUCCGCCCUUUAGUGCUGCAGCUAACGCAUUAAGCACUCCGCCUGGGGGAGUACGGCCGCAAGGCUGAAACUCAAAGGAAUUGACGGGGGCCCGGCACAAGCGGUGGAGCAUGUGGUUUAAUUCGAAGCAACGCGAAGAACCUUACCAGGUCUUGACAUCCUCUGCCAACCCUAGAGAUAGGGUGUUCCCCUUCGGGGGACAGAGUGACAGGUGGUGCAUGGUUGUCGUCAGCUCGUGUCGUGAGAUGUUGGGUUAAGUCCCGCAACGAGCGCAACCCUUGAUCUUAGUUGCCAGCAUUUAGUUGGGCACUCUAAGGUGACUGCCGGUGACAAACCGGAGGAAGGUGGGGAUGACGUCAAAUCAUCAUGCCCCUUAUGACCUGGGCUACACACGUGCUACAAUGGAUGGUACAAAGAGCUGCGAACCCGCGAGGGUAAGCCAAUCUCAUAAAGCCAUUCUCAGUUCGGAUUGUAGGCUGCAA